AUGUGGUGGAGUGCUGGAUGUGCUUCCCAGGAGCUCCUUCUAAUUCCAGUGCACCUCCUUCUUUCUUCUUUUGCAGCAUCUCACACAGCCCCAGUCGUCUUCCCGUUGUCCCCCUGUUGCCAAGACCUCUCCAGCACCUCCCAGGUCACCUUGGGUUGUCUGGUCUCUGGCUUCUUUCCCGAAGCAGUCCAAGUCCAAUGGAAUUCAGGAUCCUCCUCUGACAUCCGAACCUUCCCUGCACUAUUGGAUUCAUCCAGUGGCCACUACACUCUCAGCAGCCAGCUCACCAUCCCUACCAGCACCUGGGAAUCAGAAAAAUUCCAAUGCAGUGUUGUACAUCCAGCUACCAGCUCCACAGUCAACAAAGAAAUCCAGCCAUGUGAGAAGAAAGAUCCCGUAGCCCCAAAGGUCCGCCUGCUCCAUUCCUCCUGCAGACUCAACCCGAGAAAUGCUACCAUUGAGCUGGUGUGCUUUAUCUCUAGCUUCUACCCCAACGAUGUGACGGUAGAGUGGCUGGUGGGUGGGCAACCUGGCAUGCUAUCCUCGGUCACAGCACCACCCAGGGAAGAUCCCAGUGGACACACCUUCAGUACCAUCAGCACAACUAGCGUUAGGCAAGCAGACUGGCUGCAGAGGAAUGACUACGUCUGCCAGGUGUCCCACGCAGCGACCCGAGCCAUGGUGAGAAGCAAAGCCAAGGUCUGUGAAGGCUCCUCAGAUAUCAGGAUCUUCAUCCUACGCCCAACUCCUAAUGACCUUUACAUAGAAAAGCAGCCCAAACUCACCUGCGUGGUAGUCAACUUAGAGAGUGAAGAUGAACGCUUGGCAGUGACCUGGUCAAAGGAGAAAGGAAGAAUCCUGAGCUCUGCACCACUAAAUGUGAAAGAUGAGUUGAAUGGCACCUUCACUGCAACCAGCUCUCUGAUCAUCUCAGACAGAGACUGGUUGUCAGGGGUGACUUUUACCUGCACAGUGAAACACCCAGCCCUGCCUCACACCAUGGACACCAAGGUUAACAAGAAGACAGGAAGCAGCAUCGGCCCCAGUCUGUACAUCUUCCACCCCCACCAUGAUGAGCUCAACUCUAACAGCCAAGACAUCUCCAUCACUGCCCUGGUGAGAGGGUUCAAGCCCAGUGACAUAUCCCUGAAAUGGCUCAAGAAUGGCAACCCCCUGCCUGAAGCGGACUAUCUCAUCACCCCAGUCUUCAGUGAAGGCGAUGGUUCCUAUUUCUUGUUCAGCAAGCUGAAGGUCCUCAAGGCUUACUGGAACAGAGGUGAUUCCUACACCUGCAUGGUUGUCCAUGAAGGUCUGACCCUCAAGUUCAUCCAGAAGCACAUUGAGAAAUAUACGGGUAAACAAUGAAGACUG